rnacentral:rRNA from 1 species
UACCAGCUCUCCGAGUGGUAGAGAUGUUUAUUGGGCUUAAAGCGUCCGUAGCCGGCUUAGCAAGUCUCCUGUUAAAUUCAGCGACCUAAUCGUUGAGCCGCGGGAGAUACUACUAGGCUAGGAGGCGGGAGAGGUCAACGGUACUUCCGGGGUAGGGGUGAAAUCCUAUAAUCCCGGGAGGACCACCAGUGGCGAAGGCUGUUGACUAGAACGCGCUCGACGGUGAGGGACGAAAGCUGGGGGAGCGAACCGGAUUAGAUACCCGGGUAAUCCCAGCUGUAAACGAUGCGAGCUAGGUGUUGGGGUGGCUACGUGCCACUUCAGUGCCGCAGGGAAGCCAUUAAGCUCGCCGCCUGGGGAGUACGGCCGCAAGGCUGAAACUUAAAGGAAUUGGCGGGGAGCACCACAAGGCGUGAAGCUUGCGGUUC